rnacentral:rRNA from 1 species
GACGAACGCUGGCGGCGUGCUUAACACAUGCAAGUCGAGCGGUAAGGCCCUUUCGGGGGUACACGAGCGGCGAACGGGUGAGUAACACGUGGGUGACCUGCCCUCAGCUCUGGGAUAAGCCCGGGAAACUGGGUCUAAUACCGGAUAUGACUCCAUGACGCAUGUUGUGGGGUGGAAAGCCUUGUGCGGCUGAGGAUGGGCCCGCGGCCUAUCAGCUUGUUGGUGGGGUGAUGGCCACCAAGGCGACGACGGGUAGCCGGCCUGAGAGGGCGACCGGCCACACUGGGACUGAGAUACGGCCCAGACUCCUACGGGAGGCAGCAGUGGGGAAUCUUGCGCAAUGGGCGAAAGCCUGACGCAGCGACGCCGCGUGAGGGAUGACGGCCUCGGUUGUAAC